rnacentral:rRNA from 1 species
GAAUUUGGAAGGGCGAAGUCUGACGGAGCAACGCCGCGUGAUGUGAGAAGGUUUUCGGAUCGUAAAGCUCCCUUGUUAGGGAAGAACAAGUGCCGUUCGAAUUGGGUGGGACCUUGACGGUACCUAACCAAAAAGCCACGGUUAACUCCGUGCCAGCAGCCGCGGUAA